ensembl:snRNA U4 U4 spliceosomal RNA
AGCUUUGCGCAGUGGCAGUAUCGCAGCCAAUGAGGUUUAUUCGAGGUGUGAUUAUUGCUAAUUGAAAACCAUUCCCAAUACCCCGCCAUGACAACUUGCAAUACAGUCGGCACUGGCAAUUUAUUCAGUCUCUACGGAGA